rnacentral:rRNA from 1 species
CUACGGGGCGCUCCAGUGGGGAAUAUUGCACAAUGGGCGCAAGCCUGAUGCAGCCAUGCCGCGUGUAUGAAGAAGGCCCUCGGGUUGUAAAGUACUUUCAGCGGGGAGGAAGGGAGUAAAGUUAAUACCUUUGCUCAUUGACGUUACCCGCAGAAGAAGCACCGGCUAACUCCGUGCCAGCAGCCGCGGUAAUACGGAGGGUGCAAGCGUUAAUCGGAAUUACUGGGCGUAAAGCGCACGCAGGCGGUUUGUUAAGUCAGAUGUGAAAUCCCCGGGCUCAACCUGGGAACUGCAUCUGAUACUGGCAAGCUUGAGUCUCGUAGAGGGGGGUAGAAUUCCAGGUGUAGCGGUGAAAUGCGUAGAGAUCUGGAGGAAUACCGGUGGCGAAGGCGGCCCCCUGGACGAAGACUGACGCUCAGGUGCGAAAGCGUGGGGAGCAAACAGGAUUAGAUACCCUCGUAGUC